GAGAGAGUCAGAGAGAGAGAGAGAGUCUUGAUCGAAAGUCUUUAUGUUGAAGCUUCUGAGAACAAUUUCUACUUCAUUUCACAGAGAAAGCUCAGAUUUGAAGAAGUUCACCGAUCCAUUCCGACUCAAACUUCAUCUGGAGUGUUUUGUUGGUUUAUGAUACUAAAACUAACUCCACUGAGAUAUUCAGAGAAAGAGAGCAUGAGGACAUGAUGGAGUAAAGACUGUUAUAUUAUGGCACCAUCUAGUGCAAAAAGCACAAAAAUAAAAAAACAAAUAAAUUUCAAUGAUUUGAGGGAGGGUCCACCACAUGACAAUAACCAGCAAUAUAGCAGCAUUCUGAUUGGUUUAGAGGUUUUGAACCACAUCAUUUUGAAAAACGAAAGCAAAAGAAACACAGCAGAGGAGAAGUGAACGUACUGAAUCACAAUAAUGGCAAAAUCAAAGGAAAGAAUUUCAGUGUUCACUAAAAAGUACGAAGAGAAGUACGAUGAGAAAGAUGUCCUGGAUGGAGAUGUGUUCAUUGUGCGACGUGAUUCAAAGGUCCAGAAAGCUGGAGUGUACUCUGAUGGACAGAUCGUUCAGCUGAAUGGUAAAGCACUUUCGUAAUGGUUAUAAUAGAUCAAGAUAAACCAUGAAGCAAACACAGUUAUAAAAGACAAUAAUUAACUAAAAAUGAAUAAUGAGUGUGUAACAGUUACAGUAAAUUGGCAGGGGUGGACUGAUCUGAUUAUUUUCCUUC